GACGAACGCUGGCGGCGUGCUUAACACAUGCAAGUCGAACGGAAAGGCCCUGCUUUUGUGGGUUUCUCGAGUGCCGAACGGGUGAGUAUCACGUGAGUAACCUGCCCUUGACUUUGGGAUAACUUCUGGAAACUCGGGCUAAUACCGGGUAGGAUCUUCUGCUCCGUGUGGUUCGUUGGUAAGUUUCGGCUGUUGUGGAUGGUCUCGCGGCUUAUCAGCUUGAUGGGGAGGUAGUGGCUGCCCAAGGCUUUGACGGAUAGGCGGCCUGAGAGGGUGACCGGCCACCAUGGGACUGAGAGACGGCCCAGACUCCUACGUGAGGCAGCAGUGGGGAAUAUUGCACAAUGGGGGGAAGCCUGAUGCAGCAACGCCGCGUGCGGGAUGACGGCCUUCGGGUUGUAAACCGCUUUCGCCUGUGACGAAGCGUGAGUGACGGUAAUGGGUAAAGAAGCACCGGCUAACUACGUG
rnacentral:rRNA from 1 species